rnacentral:rRNA from 1 species
CAGCACCUCAAGUGGUCAGGAUGAUUAUUGGGCCUAAAGCAUCCGUAGCCGGCUCUGUAGGUUUUCGGUUAAAUCUGUAUGCUCAACAUACAGGCUGCCGGGAAUACUGCAGAGCUAGGGAGUGGGAGAGGUAGACGGUACUCGGUAGGAAGGGGUAAAAUCCUUUGAUCUAUUGAUGACCACCUGUGGCGAAGGCGGUCUACCAGAACACGUCCGACGGUGAGGGAUGAAAGCUGGGGGAGCAAACCGGAUUAGAUACCCGCGUAGUCC